AUGGGAGCGGAGCAUCGAGCUCCUCUGCACCCCGCCCGCGUCCCCGCGUCGCCGCCGCCGCCCCACCCUGCCUCGCGCCCGGAUCCGGCCAUGGGAGGUCCGGCCACUCCGGAUCCGGCCUCCUCCUCGCUGGACCUUCUACCUCGAGACCUUGCUGAUGACGGAGGAGCGGCGGCGCGCCAUAUGGGCCAUCUACGGAGGACAGAUGAGCUCGUGGACGGUCCCAAUGCGUCGCACAUCACGCCGCAGGCUCUUGACCGGUGGGAGAGGAGGCUGGAGGACCUGUUCGCCGGGCACCCCUAUGACAUGCUCGACGCCGCGCUCUCAGACACCAUCGCCAUGUUCCCCAUAGAUAUUCAGGUUGGUCUUGAAUCCCUAAACCUUGGAAUUUGCCCAAAGUUGAGUGUUCUACUCAUAGAGGCCCCAAAUAUGUCUAUAUUGGAGCUGAAGGGCUGUGGUGUCUUUUCUGAGGCUUCAAUUAAUUGUCCUUGCUUGAUAUCUUUAGAUGCCUCUUUCAGCAGGUUGUACCAUGCUUCUGAAUCUCUCCUGAACAUUUUCAAAUCUAAAGCAAACUGCUUAAUAUUAUUUGCUGGUAUUAACGGUUUCUGUACUAUUUUUUGUUCAGACAGCUUAUGGAUGAUUUGUGGACUUGCCAUUGUUACUGGAGGUAGAAGGGGACUAGGAGAGGCUGUGGUAAAAUUUUGA
rnacentral:rRNA from 1 species